CAGCCUCGUUUUAGGCUAUCUCUGACGAUUUCUAUAACUGUGUCAUCCUUUCCUGCUGAAGUCAUCCUGCAACAAGACCAGUCUGGUGUAGCAGUCUGGUAGUCACCUUCUGAACACGUAGUAGUUUUAAAAUGACCUAGAGACGCCAUCCACAGAAAUCAAGAUGGCUGUGUGGUCUAAACCAUCUUGGUGGGAAACUACACCGUGCCUGGCACAUCUGACACCUGCAUCACUUUAUGGGAGAUCUGAUUUCAAAUUUUCUUUGGGUUAUCUGUUCACAGGGCAGAGCAGCCAGGUCAUGGAAGCAGGUGUGGGCCAUUGUUAUGCUAAUAAAUCUUCCGUGCAAUAUCCAAAGGGAAUCUAGAUCCAAGCAUGAUAGAGUGAGAAAAAAAGGAAGAAAAUAAGCAACACUGAACAAUUUGAGGCAAUAUAAAGUGGUCCUGGCAAAGUGAAUAAAGGACUGAGGUAAUGAAAAAACAGUGACUAUACAUACUUAUUAAGAGACAAGAAUAGUUAUAUUGUUUAAAUUUGAAGUGAUGGAAAGAAAGAAAGAGGAAAUAUGAGAGAUAA